GSKCCUACGGGGGGGCAGCAGUAGGGAAUCUUCCGCAAUGGACGAAAGUCUGACGGAGCAACGCCGCGUGAGUGAUGAAGGUUUUCGGAUCGUAAAGCUCUGUUGUUAGGGAAGAACAAGUGCAAGAGUAACUGCUUGCACCUUGACGGUACCUAACCAGAAAGCCACGGCUAACUACGUGCCAGCAGCCGCGGUAAUACGUAGGUGGCAAGCGUUGUCCGGAAUUAUUGGGCGUAAAGGGCUCGCAGGCGGUUUCUUAAGUCUGAUGUGAAAGCCCCCGGCUCAACCGGGGAGGGUCAUUGGAAACUGGGAAACUUGAGUGCAGAAGAGGAGAGUGGAAUUCCACGUGUAGCGGUGAAAUGCGUAGAGAUGUGGAGGAACACCAGUGGCGAAGGCGACUCUCUGGUCUGUAACUGACGCUGAGGAGCGAAAGCGUGGGGAGCGAACAGGAUUAGAUACCC
rnacentral:rRNA from 1 species